rnacentral:lncRNA from 1 species
CCGGGUCCUCCAGGGAGCCGCUGCAGCCCAGGUCGCGGCUCCGUUCCGCCCCGGAUAUAGGAUCGCAAAUUCGAACCUCAGGCAAGGGACAUUUUAGUAACUGGCCUUGCACAUUGCGAUAUGACCGCAAGAUGCCUGGGGAAAAGGCAUAGCUAGGGCAGGACACCGUUGGGGCCAAACGGCAAAACCUGAGUGUGAGCUAUGGCUUAGGUGAUUGUGUUUUCUCCAUGGUGAAUCUCCUGCUUUUCCUUUUUUUGGAGGGCAGGGUGAGGGUGUGGUGCCGGGAACUCAACCCGGAGUUGCUCAACCACUGAACUACAUCCCCAGACCUUUUUAUUCUUAUAUUGAGGCAGGAGCUCCCUAACUUGCCCAGGCUGGCCUCCAACUUGAGGUCCUGCUGCCUCGGCCUCCCGGUCGCUGUUUGCAGGCAUAUGCGCCAACACGCCAGGCGAAUUUCCUGCUUUUGAUCAUUGCUCUGCAGUAACGUAGGAGAGUGUCCUUGGGUCCAGAAAACACACUCGUAUUUAGGGGUCAAGGAGCACGAUGUCCCCAACCUAAUCCCAGAUGGCUCAGAAAGAACCGCGCGCAGAGAGAGAAACCCCGCGAAAUGCCUGCGGCUGUGUCUGAAUGCGUGGCAUGUGGGAGUUCCUGGUAGUAUUGCAAUUUUUUCUAAAUUGGAAAUUUUAUCGGAAAAAAAAAAAAAAACAACGAAAAACUCUCAAUAGGUUAGUCGCCAAACCCCGGGAGGACGAGAAGGAAGCCCUUUCUCUUUCCCAGGCUCUCCCACUACAGUCAGGUCACCACUACUCAGCUUCCCCUGAGCACCUGGUCAUUGAUGUCCUCUACCCUUGAGGGUUAUGGCGGAGGUCCGCUGUCAGUGGAGGGACACUGAUUUCCCAUGGACUCACAGUGGGGAGAAGGCAUCAAGCUCCCUUGUAGCUUGGAAAUCAGAGACACUCAUGAGGGGCUCCUGUGGCCGCUGGAAACGCUAGAGCAGUGGACCAGGCAGAUGCGGGGGUGUGGUCACACGUUUAUUAAUACCUGCACGCAGCAAGUGCGCGUCCUCCCUGUGGCCUCCAUGUCCUUCCCCCAGGUGGGUUCAGUCUCGCCCGGCGCCUGCGGAUGCCGCGUCGGCAUCCGCAUUCUCCGACUGUGAGGUGGGAGGAGGGGGGUCCCUGAACCGACUGGAGGGAAGCUUGCGGUUGAACUUUGCUGAGGUUAGAGUGUCCUGUGAGGCCGCAGGCAAGGAGGAGUGCGUAGAGAUCCGAGACCCCUCAUGUGACCUCGCCAGCGACAAGGUCCUGGAGCUCGCUGACGACAGGGUCAGAGAUGCGACCCGGGAACUGGGACGCGACGGGACCAAGGACGAGACCCGGGAGCCCGGGCGCGACGGGGUCAAGGACGGAACCCGGGAGUCCCGGCGCGUCACUGUUAGGGAAAAGGCCCCUAACCCUGCCUUCGAAGUGGCCAGCGAAGGGACCAACGAUGAUACGCGAGAAAGCGCACAGGACAUGGACGGGGGCUGGGAGGCUACGCGUGACGAGUCCACCGAUGUGGCUGGGGAGGCUCCGCGCGACCGGCCCCUCGCGGUGACGGCGUUUGAUUCUGGGCGCGAGGUGGUUUGGGAAGAGACCGGCGGCUGCCAGAGCGGCGGGCCGUCGGGGCCCCUGCGCAGCCAGCCGUGCACGCGCGCCAGGUCCCGCGUAUCCUCGUGCUCACGACGCAGCUGCUCACGCUGCUGAAGCAGCUGGUGCCGCAUAUUGUGCAGCAGCUGGGCCCUGCCGAGAAGCCGCAACAGCUCCUGCCUCAGGCGCCCAUUGUCUGCUUUGAUGGCCUGCGUAUGUGUGAUGAGCGCGCGCGUCGCCUCCCGCUCCGCGCGCCGGCCCAGAGACUGCACACGCUGGCGAGCCUCACGCUCGCAGGCUGCCUUUUCCUCCAGAAAGCGCCGCUUCACGCGGUGGAGCAGCUGCGUGUGCUCCACGCGCAUGUGCAGCAGCUCGCGCUCCAGCGUCCGGAUCCUUGCCAGCUGCUCCAGCUGCAGCUCCUGUGGCAGGGGCGCAGGUCAGCGCAGGAGCUCGACGCGCGCCCACCCAGACCAGCAGCCCCCGCCCCCACCGCCGGUCCGCUACCGCACGCGUACUGGCCUUGUAAGGCUGCAGCUCCUGCACCUGCUGCGCCAUCUGCGCUGCACGCGCCUGCAUCUCCAGCAGCUGCGCACGCACCCCAUCCUCGCGCCCCUGGUACAGCGACGCUAGUUCUGACCGCUCCCAAUGGAUCUGCCCCAGAUCCACGCGGUUCUGCUCGUCUAGCCGCAGGACGGCGUUGGCACAGCGCUGCGCGCGUGUGUUUACAAAACUGGCGUAAAACCGAUUCUCUUCGCGCAAGCGCCCUGCCUCGUGGUCCAGGAAGAUGUUUUCCUGGAGCACCUGGUCCACGCGCCCCUCGCAGGCGUCCAGCUGCUCCGAGAGCAACGUGUACUCGCGCUGUAGGUACUGCGCGCGUUCCGACCCCUGCGGCUCUGCACCUUCACCCAGCCGGCGCCCUAAGCUCGUCACGCGCUUCUUCUUGGGCGCCAUGGGUUAGGACCUGGGGCACAGGGGCUCAGGAGGGCAGUGCUCGCUUCCACAGUUCAGUUUCUUCCUUUCCCCAACCCGGAAAAAUCUAGGCCUCAGGUCCAUGGAUAGAAUGCCUCCUAAGGUCACGAAGUCUGGGGAGGCAGAAUCGGAGUCGGAGCAGCAGUGCCAACCUGUACUCGUGGGUUCCCUCUGGUCCUUGGUUGUUCGUGUCGGGUGUGUCCAACAUUGGUACCGUUGAUAUUCAGCCAGCAAUCUCUAUGGAGACAGAAUUUAGCCGCCCUCCCCCAUCCCGCCUCGUUGCUAGGGCAACACCUGGACUCUGCCGUUCCCGGGCUCUCUCCUGUGUAGAGGCGACAGCUGCGCCCAGCCGUGGAGGAGAGGUAGAGGUAGAUAGAGACAGGCAGGGUUCAGUUCAGGCCCUGGGACUUUUUUUUCCCCCAAAACCAACUGACCUGAGCAGCAGCCCCCACCCUCCACUGCCAGGCAUUCACUGCCCUUCAACUCUGCAUACCGCGGGCUCUGAUUCCGGGUUCCCUCCCUCCAGCCUCAGCAGGCUCUUCCUCGGCUAGGCCUCUCUGCUGUCCAGAAAGGGCUCUGCACACCGCUUCUCCUUUCAGGGAACCCUUGUCUCUGAGGCCACCAGGGGCGGGGCUACUGGGAGGUGUGAAGUCCCUGCAGAUGCUGUCCCCUGUAGCCAGUGGGCCAUCUGCUUCUCUCUUGGAUUCCUAAAGCCACCGGCAGGGCACCUGCCCAAUUCAUCCACUUCCCUUCCUGGAGGGGAUAAGGGAUACACGGGGGUCAGGUAUCCACUGACUCUGGAAAGACCUCGUAACUAGAACACGAGAGGGGCCUUCUGUGCCUGGAGGAGCCCUGGGCAGUUGCAAGGACCCAGCUUCCCAUCCAGUUAGAAGCCUGGCAGGAGCGUGCUGGACAGCCUUUGGCAAGUCCUAUGUCCACACUUGUGUCCUGUCAUCAUACAGUGGAAUGUCUGCCCAGGUUUGUCCACAUUGUCUGGGGAUGGGCGGAUUUGAAGAUCCUCAAAAUUCAGCUUUACGAGCAUCAGGGUCUAGUGAAGUCACACUUGAGUGAAUGUUUGUGUUGAUGGCUCAAGUUGGUUUUAAAAGCUUGAUAAUUCACGUCACUGGGCUUGCUCAAGUUAGCCACGUCGCUGGAAAGAUGUGGCAGGGAACCACUCUGAAUGACCACGCCUUCCAGUCCUGAAGCACAGGGCUCUGACCAACCACUACAUUUUAUGACUUGGGCGUUGUCCCAGGUCCAUAGCAAGGCGAGGCUCCAGGAGUAGGACACCCACCCCCGGGGGUGAGCCACACUCACCUGUUCCUUUGUAAUCCUACCCUUUGCCCUUUUGGGGAUAGAAUGUUCCAUGGAACCUCCUCUUGUGUGUUCCCCAUAUAAGAAUAAAGAAUUCCUGUGGCUCUCUCUCUUUCCAAGGAGCCUGAAGUUCGCAGAGCCGUCUACAGAAUAUUGAAAGAAGUAUUUCUGUGUGGUUUCAUGCUUUCUUUGUCGUUUUCUUGAGUUAUUGGAAUAGUCAGAUUUGUGAACCCAGCAUUGGG